rnacentral:rRNA from 1 species
AUUGAACGCUGGCGGCAGGCCUAACACAUGCAAGUCGAACGAGUGGCGGACGGGUGAGUAAUGUCUGGGAAACUGCCUGAUGGAGGGGGAUAACUACUGGAAACGGUAGCUAAUACCGCAUACCAUCAGAUGUGCCCAGAUGGGAUUAGCUUGUUGGUGGGGUAACGGCUCACCAAGGCGACGAUCCCUAGCUGGUCUGAGAGGUAGACCAGCCACCCUGGGACCGGGACCCCGUCCAGACUCCUACGGGAGGCCGCAGUGGGGAAUAUUUCACCAUGGGCGCAAUGCUGAUGCAUCCAUGCCGCGGGUAUGAAGGAGGCCUUUGGGUUGUAAAGUUCUUUUAUGCGGGAGGCGUUACCCGCAGAAGAAGCCCCCGCUAACUCCGUGCCAGCCGCCGCGGUAAUUC